rnacentral:rRNA from 1 species
GACGAACGCUGGCGGCGUGCCUAAUACAUGCAAGUCGAGCGGAGUAAAAGCGUGCUUGCACGGUUUUAUUUAGCGGCGAACGGGUGAGUAACACGUAGGUAACCUGGCCAUAAGGCAGGGAUAACGCACGGAAACGUGAGCUAAAACCAGAUAGGCAUUUUCCACGCAUGAGGGAGAUGAGAAAGGCGGAGCAAUCUGCCGCUUAUGGAUGGACCUGCGUCGCAUUAGCUAGUUGGAGUGGUAAAGGCACACCAAGGCGACGAUGCGUAGCCGACCUGAGAGGGUGAGCGGCCACACUGGGACUGAGACACGGCCCAGACUCCUACGGGAGGCAGCAGUAGGGAUCUUCCGCAAUGGACGAAAGUCUGACGGAGCAACGCCGCGUGAGU